rnacentral:rRNA from 1 species
UACGGAGGAUGCGAGCGUUAUCCGGAUUUAUUGGGUUUAAAGGGUGCGUAGGCGGACUGUCAAGUCAGCGGUAAAAUACGGGGGCUCAACCUCCGCCCGCCGUUGAAACUGACGGUCUUGAGUGGGCGAGAAGUAUGCGGAAUGCGUGGUGUAGCGGUGAAAUGCAUAGAUAUCACGCAGAACUCCGAUUGCGAAGGCAGCAUACCGGCGCCCAACUGACGCUGAAGCGCGAAAGCGUGGGUAUCGAACAGG